GAUGUUGGUCCGUAUAAACCGGAUGCAACCCGGAUAUAGACGGUCUAUGAAUCUGCGUAUGCGAACAUGAGUAGAUUACAUUGAAAACGACCGUCGGAUAUCUUGGACGCAGUCUCCAGUUCAUAUUAUACCUCAAUAUACGAGAUUCCAGAACCGUUCUCAUGGAUGGUUAACGCUGGAGAUCCCUUCAAUCUCCACUGAGUUAGGUUCUCUGUCAGUAGAGGCAUUUGGUUGAGACAGUGAAAAUGGAUGGGGGGAAAUAUACAGUUCACCUCCUGACAGUAAUUGCUACUGCACUUGGUCUGAGAGCAGAGGAUCGAAGCCUCCUCAGUGAGCAAAACUACCUGAAGCCUGUCGUCCACCUCUUCAACAGAGCGCUCCCGUCCAGGACCUCUCAAGGAAAGCCGUC